UCCCCGUGUGUUGGUAGACGCGGCGGAUUCAAAAUCCGUUUUCGCAAGAAGUGGGAGUUCGAGUCUCCCUCGGGGCACCA
rnacentral:tRNA from 1 species